rnacentral:rRNA from 1 species
UGGGGGAAUAUUGGGCAAUGGGCGCAAGCCUGACCCAGCAACGCCGCGUGAGGGAAGAAGGUUUUCGGUAUUGUAAACCUCUGUCGCAGAAGACGAAGGAAGUGACGGUAUUCUGUGAGGAAGCCCCGGCUAACUACGUGCCAGCAGCCGCGGUAAUACGUAGGGGGCAAGCGUUAUCCGGAUUUACUGGGUGUAAAGGGAGCGUAGACGGCAAAGCAAGUCUGAAGUGAAAGCCCCGGGCUCAACCCGGGAACUGCUUUGGAAACUGUUUAGCUAAGAGUGCAGGAGAGGUAAGUGGAAUUCCUAGUGUAGCGGUGAAAUGCGUAGAUAUUAGGAGGAACACCAGUGGCGAAGGC